rnacentral:rRNA from 1 species
GCUGGCGGCGUGCCUAAUACAUGCAAGUCGAGCGAUGAUUAAAGAUAGCUUGCUAUUUUUAUGAAGAGCGGCGAACGGGUGAGUAACGCGUGGGUAAAUCUGCCGAGUAGCGGGGGACAACGUUUGGAAACGAACGCUAAUACCGCAUAACAAUGAGAAUCGCAUGAUUCUUAUUUGAAAGAAGCAAUUGCUUCACUACUUGAUGAUCCCGCGUUGUAUUAGCUAGUUGGUAGUGUAAAGGACUACCAAGGCGAUGAUACAUAGCCGACCUGAGAGGGUGAUCGGCCACACUGGGACUGAGACACGGCCCAGACUCCUACGGGAGGCAGCAGUAGGGAAUCUUCGGCAAUGGGGGCAACCCUGACCGAGCAACGCCGCGUGAGUGAAGAAGGUUUUCGGAUCGUAAAACUCUGUUGUUAGAGAAGAACGUUAAGUAGAGUGGAAAAUUACUUAAGUGACGGUAUCUAACCAGAAAGGGACGGCUAACUACGUGCCAGCAGCCGCGGUAAUACGUAGGUCCCAAGCGUUGUCCGGAUUUAUUGGGCGUAAAGCGAGCGCAGGUGGUUUCUUAAGUCUGAUGUAAAAGGCAGUGGCUCAACCAUUGUGUGCAUUGGAAACUGGGAGACUUGAGUGCAGGAGAGGAGAGUGGAAUUCCAUGUGUAGCGGUGAAAUGCGUAGAUAUAUGGAGGAACACCGGAGGCGAAAGCGGCUCUCUGGCCUGUAACUGACACUGAGGCUCGAAAGCGUG